GACGAACGCUGGCGGCGUGCCUAAUACAUGCAAGUUGAGCGCUGAAGGUUGGUACUUGUACCAACUGGAUGAGCAGCGAACGGGUGAGUAACGCGUGGGGAAUCUGCCUUUGAGCGGGGGACAACAUUUGGAAACGAAUGCUAAUACCGCAUAAAAACUUUAAACACAAGUUUUAAGUUUGAAAGAUGCAAUUGCAUCACUCAAAGAUGAUCCCGCGUUGUAUUAGCUAGUUGGUGAGGUAAAGGCUCACCAAGGCGAUGAUACAUAGCCGACCUGAGAGGGUGGUCGGCCACAUUGGGACCGAGACGCGGCCCAAACGCCUACGGGAGGCAGCAGUAGGGAAUCUUCGGCAAUGGGCGCAAGUCUGACCGAGCUACGCCGCGUGCGUGGAGAAGGUGUUCGGGUCGUAAAGCUCUGUUGGUAGAGAAGAACGUUGGUGAGAGUGGAAAGCUCAUCAAGUGACGGUAACGACCCAGAAAGGGACGGCUAACUACGUG
rnacentral:rRNA from 1 species